UAACCUGCCCAAGAGAUCGGGAUAACACCUGGAAACAGAUGCUAAUACCGGAUAACAACAGAUGAUGCCUAUCAACUGUUUAAAAGAUGGUUCUGCUAUCACUCUUGGAUGGACCUGCGGUGCAUUAGCUAGUUGGUAGGGUAACGGCCUACCAAGGCAAUGAUGCAUAGCCGAGUUGAGAGACUGAUCGGCCACAUUGGGACUGAGACACGGCCCAAACUCCUACGGGAGGCAGCAGAU
rnacentral:rRNA from 1 species